rnacentral:rRNA from 1 species
UACGUAGGGCGCAAGCGUUGUCCGGAAUUAUUGGGCGUAAAGAGCUCGUAGGCGGUUUGUCGCGUCUGCUGUGAAAUCCCGAGGCUCAACCUCGGGUCUGCAGUGGGUACGGGCAGACUGGAGUGCGGUAGGGGAGAAUGGAAUUCCUGGUGUAGCGGUGGAAUGCGCAGAUAUCAGGAGGAACACCGAUGGCGAAGGCAGUUCUCUGGGCCGUAACUGACGCUGAUGUGCGAAAGCUAGGGGAGCAAACGGG